AUGGACUGGCUGGGUGAAGGGGGGGAGGCACCAGCUGGGGGACCCCCAAGGGAAGAAGGCUCGGAGUCCGGGUCUUGUAUGCCCCCUAAGGCUAUCAAAACUCCUAGGUCUGGCCAAUUAAAGGCUGAUAUGGGAGCCGUUGGGGGCCAGAUCAGUUAUUUCUUUUUCGCCUCUCCUCUGGAAAAGUGCUCUUUCUUCUGGGGUUUGAUUACUUUUGCCUCCUUCAGUGCCCACUGCAUCCUCAGCGCGGUGCAAUACUGUCCUUUCAACUUAUGUAGGGCUCUCUCUCAGGACCGCUACCCAGGAGUCUGCCUAUGCAAACUGCUCCGAACAUCCAGGGUUUUUGGUCACGCUUCAAAAGACCUGGUUGGUUUGCUCCAGGUCCCACGAGCCGGGGGGGUGGGGCAGCAGGGAGUUCUUAGUCGUUUGAGGUUCAUUGCUCCGCCAUAUUUGUGCUUGAAUUUGCCAAAAUUAUUCACCAUGCCUUGUAAUGGAGUCCAUUCCUCCUGUGAGUGUGACACCCCCCAUUAUGCCCUCCUGCUUAAGUUGUUACACAAGGGGGACUCCCUGCCUUCUGACAUGUUGCAGAUAAAAUAAAAGGUGUGGGGGGGAGCCUUUUGAAAAGAGACUGGUGGCCAGCAAGGCCCACAGUGAGAAAGCCUAUAGAAAGAAAAGACUCAUAAAUAAAUGCCCCCCUCGGCUGCACAGCCCGCCAGUCCUGGGCAGAGAACUCGCAGUUGUGCCAAGGGGGGAGAGAGCCUGAUCUCUUCAGCCCCAGCCCUCAGCCAGACAGGAGCCUUCAAGAAAAACACAGUGUGAGGAAACCCCCCCCACCCUCUUGGCCGAGCUUGAGACAAUACAUAGACAUUCACAGAGCUGGAAGCCUGCUGUUGCCUGGAUGAGGCACCCACAGCUGGCAGUCCACUGCUGCCGGGGAGGGGGGCGGGUCCACAAACACACACACACACACAGAGAGAGAGAGAGAGAGAGAGAGAGAGAGAGAGAGAGAGCUGGCCCCCCAGCCCAGCUCCCCUGGCUGAGCUGGAGACAAAAGCGUCAAUACAAAACACACAAAAAAGAAAGCUCUCCCCCCCCCCCAAAUGUGCAAUUUAACUGUGAGCAAAACACACAGAGCAGCCCCCCUUGACUGUGACACACAGAGAGCUGGGGGGCACUGCUCCCUCAGUUGAGGCACCCACAGCUGGGUGGGUUCAAAGAAAGCCUCAAUUUAUCUGAGUCACAGCACCAAAUGUAUACACUGGUACCUCGGGUUACAUACGCUUCAGGUUACAGACUCCGCUAACCCAGAAAUAGUACCUCAGGUUAAUAACGUUGCUUCAGCAUGAGAACAGAAAUCAUGCUCUGCCGGCGCGGCGGCAGCAGGAGGCUCCAUUAGCUAAAGUGGUGCUUCAGGUUAAGAACAGUUUCAGGUUAAGAACGGACCUCCAGAAUGAAUUAAGUUCUUAACCCGAGGUACCACUGUACCUCCAAAGGCUAUAAAAACUCCUAUUAAAGGUAAAGGCACCCCUGACCAUUAGGUCCAGUCGUGGCCGACUCUGGUGUUGCGGCGCUCAUCUCGCUUUACUGGCUGAGGGAGCCGGUGUACAGCUUCCGGGUCAUGUGGCCAGCAUGACAAAGCCGCUUCUGGCAAACCAGAGCAGAGCACGGGAACGCCGUUUACCUUCCCGCUGGAGUGGUACCUAUUUAUCUACUUGCACUUUGACGUGCUUUCGAACUGCUAGGUUGGCAGGAGCAGGGACCGAGCAACGGGAGCGAUGGGAGCUCACCCCGUCAUCGUGGGGCUUUGAACAGCUCACUGAAGAACCCCGACCAAACCUAAGAGGAGGUGUGUAGUGGUGACAGGGGAUUCCCUACUGAGGGGAACAGAAGCAGUGAUCUGUGGGCCUGACAAGAUUUCUCGGGAGGUGUGCUGUCUCACCGGGGCUAAGAUCCAAGAUGUAACUGAAUGACUGCAAGGAAUCAUAAAACCCACUGACAAAUACCCCUUCCUCUUGGUUCAUGUGGGAACCAAUGACACUGCAAGCAAUAGCCUCCAGAAGAUCAAAAGAGACUACGAGGCUCUGGGCAGGAAAUUGAAGCAAUUAAAUGCACAAAUUGUCAUCUCAUCUGUCCUCCCAGUUGAACGACGUGGCCCAGGGAGAGAGGGGGAAAUAGUGGAAGUGAACAGCUGGCUUCGCAAAUGGUGUAAACAGGAACGGUUUGGAUUCUUAGAUCACGGACUGCAGUUUCUUGAAAAUGGACUUCUGGCAAGCGAUGGGCUGCACCUCACAACGGUUGGGAGAAAUGUUUUUGCCAAAAAUCUCAGAAACUUCAUCAG
rnacentral:lncRNA from 1 species